rnacentral:rRNA from 1 species
AUGAACGCUGGCGGCGUGCUUAACACAUGCAAGUCGAACGGAACUACUCCAAUGAGAGUCUUCGGAAAGGAUUUGGUUUAGUUUAGUGGCGGACGGGUGAGUAACGCGUGGGUAACCUGCCCUAUACAGGGGGAUAACAGUUGGAAACGACUGUUAAUACCGCAUAAGCGCACAGGAGCGCAUGCUCCGGUGUGAAAAACUCCGGUGGUAUAGGAUGGACCCGCGUCUGAUUAGCUGGUUGGCGGGGUAACGGCCCACCAAGGCGACGAUCAGUAGCCGGCCUGAGAGGGUGAACGGCCACAUUGGGACUGAGACACGGCCCAAACUCCUACGGGAGGCAGCAGUGGGGAAUAUUGCACAAUGGGGGAAACCCUGAUGCAGCGACGCCGCGUGAGCGAAGAAGUAUCUCGGUAUGUAAAGCUCUAUCAGCAGGGAAGAAAAUGACGGUACCUGACGAAGAAGCCCCGGCUAACUACGUG